AUUUGCAGGCGAGAGGUGGGGCUGACGCGAGAGUGUUGGAGAGGGAGAGGGAGAGGGAGCGAAUUCCUCCAUGCCGGCGAGGGUCAGUGCCUGCGCAUCCCCGUCGCGCAGGCAGACAUUGCUGAGACGGAGCCGAUGUGAAGAAGAACUCCGCAUUUUGGCGUUAAUUUUGCCGCUAUACCCCCCGCUGCCGCCUCUGUUUCCACACCCGAGAUACCCUGGGAUACUGAAGAUGAUUUUACACGCCAAAUCUGCAUUAUGAGAUGGAAGGCACAUAGGCUGAGAUGAUGAGAAAGACAGCUAAAUCUCGGUCUACUGAGAGCUCUGCUGCUGCCGAGCGUUUAGCCGAUUACAAAGGAGAUGCUAGUCAGCACUACCCAGAGG
rnacentral:misc_RNA from 1 species